rnacentral:rRNA from 1 species
UACGGGGGGGGCAAGCGUUGUUCGGAAUUACUGGGCGUAAAGGGCGCGUAGGCGGCUCGCUAAGUUGGAUGUGAAAACUCUGGGCUUAACCCAGAGCCUGCAUUCAAAACUGACGGGCUAGAGUUCUGGAGGGGAUAGCGGAAUUCCUGGUGUAGCGGUGAAAUGCGUAGAUAUCGAGAGGAACACCUGCGGCGAAGGCGGGUUGCUGGGCUGACACUGACGCUGAGGCGCGAAAGCUAGGGGAGCGAACGGG